rnacentral:rRNA from 1 species
UACGGAGGGAGCUAGCGUUGUUCGGAAUUACUGGGCGUAAAGCGCGCGUAGGCGGCUUUGUAAGUUAGAGGUGAAAGCCCGGGGCUCAACCCCGGAACAGCCUUUAAGACUGCAUCGCUAGAAUCCGGGAGAGGUGAGUGGAAUUCCGAGUGUAGAGGUGAAAUUCGUAGAUAUUCGGAAGAACACCAGUGGCGAAGGCGGCUCACUGGACCAGCAUUGACGCUGAGGUGCGAAAGCGUGGGGAGCAAACAGG